UCUAAAUAUGGGGGUGUGAAAAAUCAUAUGUUUCACCAGCCCCAAUCACCAUGGGGAUAAAGGCAAAAUUCUGUUUUCAGAAUCCUUGGCGUGUCCUCUGAUGUCAGCAUGCUCCUCGGGCACAGCGUCUGGGUGAAGAUGGAACAGCAUGAAAAAGUGCUUGGGCUCUUUUGGGGGCAGCAGUUUUGGGGAUUCUGAGGCAUCUCCAAGCACAGGUGGGAUCUGAGUAUGAAGGGAUCAGGGGACCCUGUCCUUGGCCAGGCUGGGACAACCACUCGUCCCUGGUGUCCCCAGCAGGGAUUGGGGGCAAAGCUGGGAGACAGUCAGUGUGCUUUGUUCUAGACUCGGUUCCAUCCCAGUUAAGAAUCCAAACCUCUUUGGGAGCUGGCCCUUCCUCAUCAGGAAGUUUGUCUGCAUAAUACAAGGUUAGAGCUCCUGCCUCUGUACCUGGCCUGGUGAUAGGGCCCAAGAGAACAGGAAAGAAAGGGAAGCUGGUUCCUCGCAGGAAGAACCCCUGAAAGUGACCCACCAGUUCUCCAAGCCUCUGUGCAUGCACCACAAGCUGUGCUUCUGUGGUGCCCUAAUGGUCAGAGCUACACAUGGUUGGAGCUGGCACGCUGGGCCCUUCACGGAUGCAGGUAGCCCCAGAUGCAAGGCCGCUCUCUUCCUGAUUCGCAGAGAAGGUUGUGAAGUUUGGACCAAGAAGGACACCAGCUCUAUGUUGGAACCACACCCAAUCAAUUCACUCUCAGAGAUGUGACAGCAAGACUGUAGCCUGAGGGUUUGGGUGGUGAAGUUUGGACCUUUAGUCCCUACAACCCUUAAUUCUCUUCCUCUUUUAAUCCUUAUCCCGCCACACAGUCCUAGGAGGGAGAUGCUAUGAAGCCCUUGUUACACACCAGGAAACAAGGCCCAAGAAGGUUAAGUGACUUGUUGGAAACCCGCCAAGUCCCAAGGAGAGGCACCAAGAUGCAGCCUGCUUCCAAGCCUGCAGCAGAGCUUCGCUUUCUGGAACCUGGCAGAAUCAGCCUGUUCUGAUGAUGACAAACCUGGAGACCCAGGUUCUGGGACCUGCUGGCCGGGGAAAACGCUUCAUGCAGCCGCAGGCCUUCCCUGAAUGGUUGCAGCUCUCCACUGCCAGGAGAAAACGUAAGACCAUAUAUAAAGGGAAGAACUGUUAUUUCCUUAAAGUGAUUUGCCUGACUGAGAAGUCAAGAUCAAGGUACCAGCAGAUUCCGUGCCUGGUGAGGACUCUCUUCCUUGCUUGCAGAUGGCUGCCUUCCUGUUGUGUCUUCACCUGGCCUUUCCUUGGUUUGCAUUCUGCAGCUGUGUUUGAUGCUGGGAGGUGACUUCUUCUGAACCUGACAGACAGGGCCUGGAAUUGUCCUUCUGCCCCUAAGUUUUCCCUGAGUGGUGAGGGCCAUGGGGCUGCUGCCUGCCGGUCUGUGUAUGCAGGACGCUGAACCAGAGACAACCAGUCAGUGAAUUACUUAUUUUGCAUGAAUCAUGCAUCGCUCUUUUGCAUUUUACAAAUCAACUCAUGUUAGUGCAAAUUUAUCGCACUCGUUUUGGUUUAUCAAAUACCUAAAAAAAAAAAAAAAAAAAAAUCGCUCCAUUUCCCGAGGCAACAGCAUCCUGGUCCCUCCACCCCUGAGCUUGCUUCCUCCUUCUUGGGCUCACCAACCACUUCCCCAACUCAGCACCAUCACAUAACAGAAAAGCACAAGCUUGGGGCACUUCUAAAGGAGCCCUGACUGCUUAGGAGAAGGCAAGCAGAGGACGGGAUUCGGGGGGAAGGUGGGCAGUGCAGGGCCAGCAGUUAAGCCUCCCACAAAGGCCAAAGGCAAAGCUCUAUUCGUCUCCGUUUAAGCACAGAACCACUUUCAUGGAUUUUGUUGAGGCCCGUCCUUACUCUUAUAGGGCUGAGAUGUGGACACUUUCACAUUUGCAUUUGCUGAUUUAAAAUUGGAAAAGCGGGGUGGGGUGUGUGUGAUGAACUGGGAGAUUGGGAUUGACAUAUAUACACUAAUAUGUAUAAAAUAGAUAACUAAUGAGAACCCGCUGUAUAGCACAGGGAACUCCACUUCGCUGAACAGUAGAAACUAACACAACAUUGUAAAACAGCUAUAUCCCAAUUAAAAAACAAAAAUCGGAAAAGAUGGCUAUU